rnacentral:rRNA from 1 species
UACGGAGGGAGCUAGCGUUGUUCGGAAUUACUGGGCGUAAAGCGCACGUAGGCGGCUUUGUAAGUUAGGGGUGAAAGCCUGGAGCUCAACUUCAGAAUUGCCCUUAAGACUGCAUCGCUUGAAUCCAGGAGAGGUGAGUGGAAUUCCGAGUGUAGAGGUGGAAUUCGUAGAUAUUAGGAAGAACACCAGUGGCGAAGGCGGCUCACUGGUCCGGUACUGACGCUGAGGUGCGAAAGCGUGGGGAGCAAACAGG